rnacentral:rRNA from 1 species
UACGGAGGGUGCGAGCGUUGUUCGGAAUCACUGGGCGUAAAGCGCGUGUAGGCGGCCUGCGAAGUCUGAUGUGAAAGCCCGAGGCUCACCCUCGGAAGUGCAUUGGAAACUGGCAGACUGGAGUCCCGGAGAGGAGGGUGGAAUUCCUGGUGUAGCGGUGAAAUGCGUAGAUAUCAGGAGGAACACCGGUGGCGAAGGCGGCCCUCUGGACGGUGACUGACGCUGAGACGCGAAAGCUAGGGGAGCAAACAGG